CAGAAGGUCAUGAGUGUGUCCCAGACAUUGGAAGGAAAGAAAAGAAAGCAAGAAAAAUAGAAUUGAGAAAAACUGUGUUGGUAUUGGGCUGGACAGGAGUGCAGAUUAAACAAAAGAAAUAACCCCGGCAAAGGGAAUUUAGGACAUUCACCGAACAGAAAGAAAGACUAGAGAAGAAGGCUGGAAAUGAAGAGUCUAUCUAAGGUCAAUCUCAGUUUAGGGGGACACAGAAUCCACUGGCUACUCCAACCCCACUGGAUACCAUCACAGUGCUACAAAUGGUGUCAUCAUUAGGUCUACCUGUCACUUGAUACAAACCUAGAGUCACAAAGGAAAAGGGAACCUCA